AUUGAACGCUGGCGGCAGGCCUAACACAUGCAAGUCGAGCGGAUGAGAGGAGCUUGCUUCUCGAUUCAGCGGCGGACGGGUGAGUAAUGCCUAGGAAUCUGCCUGGUAGUGGGGGACAACGUUUCGAAAGGAACGCUAAUACCGCAUACGUCCUACGGGAGAAAGCAGGGGACCUUCGGGCCUUGCGCUAUCAGAUGAGCCUAGGUCGGAUUAGCUAGUUGGUGAGGUAAUGGCUCACCAAGGCGACGAUCCGUAACUGGUCUGAGAGGAUGAUAAGUCACACUGGAAUGGAGACACGGUGCAGACGCCUACGGGAGGCAGCAGUGGGGAAUAUUGGACAAUGGGCGAAAGCCUGAUCCAGCCAUGCCGCGUGUGUGAGGAAGGUCUUCGGAUUGUAAAGCACUUUAAGUUGGGAGGAAGGGUUGUAGAUUAAUACUCUGCAAUUUUGACGUUACCGACAGAAUAAGCACCGGCUAACUCUGUGCCAGCCGCCGCAGUAAGAC
rnacentral:rRNA from 1 species